rnacentral:lncRNA from 1 species
UAUUAUUUAAUUUAAAAUGAGUGAAAAUCAACAUAAAACACUACAGUAAAAUUCUAAAGCUGUCUUGAGGAAAGGUAAUUAAUUGUAAGUUAUUCUUGGACUGUGAAUGAAAAUACACACAUCAAACAUACACACUGCUAAAAUUAUGUCUCAUCAAAAUCCUUAGCUGACUAGCAAGGUCAAUACAAACCAGGAGUGAAUUGCAGGGUUAUAUACGAACUGUGUUAUGAGUACUGCAUCAGAGCUAUACAUUACACUCUGCACUAUCUGAGAUUGUCUCACUAGUUCAGUCUCAAAAUAAUUGUUGGCACAGAUUGAUGUCAGGAAUGAAACAUCACAACACCACAUCUUUAAAUCAGUUAAAAGAAACACAUACAUGUGUAACCUUGCUUUCCGAUGCGAAUGUUCCAGUUUAUUUCAGGGCACAGCAGUGAACAAAGUAUAGCUCAGAACAACUUAUGGCCAACUGUAUCGUAGCUAGAAAGCGUCUUGCAAACUAUAUCAAAUUGAUUUGAGAAUCACCAACCACAGAAGACACAAUUUUAAGGUCACCAAUGCUCCUUUCAUUCAAAACUUAACUCAAAUGGCCUCCAAUGCUUACCACAAGUUUUCCAAUGCAACUGCAAGUUUUCCGAGUGUAUUUUUCAACUCCUCCAAUACUCAAAACAACUUCCAGAUUUUUCUGCUCACAGGGGUGCUCUGAUGACAAAAACUGACCUGAAAUUUCUAGCAUUUAUUUAUAUUUUUGUGUAAGAUUUGGGGAUUUUGCUGUCCAAUUCUGCUUUUGCUGUAAGUUUUCAUUCCACAAGAAGCAACUCUUGAUUCAAGUUUGACAGUGCCGUGAUUCCCCUGAUCAAACUAGUUCUUUGCUAUGCAUAGCAACCAAUGAGAUGGAGACAAUAGAUUUCAUCAAAUUACUAUUUUCGUGUUUGUCAAAGUGGGCAAUGGGCCAACUUUUGAGUUUAUGUGUUGAAAUAUUUUGAAAUAAAAAGGCUUUUUCGGUAGUAUUGUAAGAUAAUGGUUUGACACUGACUAUUUUUUGAUGUUUUGAAACACCAAAAAGAAAAAGUCAGUGUCAAACCAUUAUCUUACAAUGUUAGCUCCUGACUACCACUACUCUAUUUUUCUGUGGUAGUUUGUUUCUUUAUUAUAUGAAACAAAUAAGUUUCAUGUUGCUGUACAUCAGUAACAGGUCACAGAAGACGUGAUAAUGUGAUAAGAACAUCAGUGACACACUCGGCUAUCGCCUCUUGUGCCACUUUUUUGUUCUUACCGCAUUUUGACGUCAUCUGUGUUCUAUUACUGAACAGAUGUACGGUAACAUGAAAUCUAGUUGUUAAGUAGUUCUUGCUUAUUUUAUCUGCCUGGAGUGGUAUAAUAACUGAGAUCCACUGCCUGAACAAACUCUGAAACACAUUAAUUGUAUCUCAGAUUCAAGUGCAGCCAAGCAUUGUCAUUCUUGUAAUUUACUAUUCACGGAGCUGUCAGUAUUUGAAAGUGACUUCCUCUGUUAUAGUAUGCCAGUGUUAUCAUACUGUUACAUGAUUAUUUUUAUUUAAAGAUGACUAUUGUUAAACAGUCUCACAUGCUGCUCAGAUUAGUGAGAAAUUGACUGGUCACUCAAGUUUCUGUAAUUAUCAAGCAAGUCCUUAUUUUUACAUCUCAAAGAAAUGUAUCAAUUUAGAUGUAAAUUACUCUCGCAAUGAGCAAUAAUUCACUUUUUCAACAGAUGACGAUGGAAAUGUGCUCCGUCAGAAGAAUCUUAGCGAAUGGGCUUUCAGAGAAGGGAAGAGAAUGAUGUUAGCUGGGGAACAUCCUUACUUGGAUCACAGUGAAUCACUCUGACUCCUAUAGAAAAAUGUAGAUGCCAUUGAAUUUCUAUAAACCUCUAGUCAAUUUCUUGUUAACUGCAAAUUAAGUUUCAAAUGUAACUUAUAGGUUACACUGCAUAUAAACCUUUUACCUAAACUAUGUUCUAAUUCAAAUAUCUUUUAGAAUUUCUGAUUGUUCAAGACAAUUACUACUGAGACAUUUUUACCUUCAACUGGAAUUUAGCUGUACUUCUAUUAUAUAUGAAUUAUAUAGUAUAAUAUCUUUUAUAUACAGUUGCAGAAUUUAUAUUAUUUUCUAUGAUGUCCUUUAUUGUUAAGUAACUUUAUUAUAUGGCUUGUGUUUGUAGCGGAUAUAAUUGAUCGGCUAAUUCUAGGUCAUUGUUCUCGUGUAACGUCUGCGGGCCUGCAAAAACAAAGCAAAAGCCAGAUAAUAAACAACUUAUUAACCUCAAAUGUUUUGGUCUUUACGCGAAAAUCUCAAACCUCCACUUUGCCAUAUUGCCCUUGGUGUCGCUCGGUCAAUACGGCAACGUCUCAGUUUGAGAUUUUCCCGUAAAGAACUCAGUCUCGGUAAAUAAGUACGUGUAGUUACUUAGUAAUAUUAUUACCAUGAAAUUAUUUUGUAGUUUAUAAUCAGUCAUUUGCAAUGCCAUUAAUUAAUUAAUGAUUAUAGGGUUCUGACAGAACUUGUCAUAUUCCUACAGCUACAUGUAUUUAAUAGUUCCAUUUUUAGUUCAAAUAUGUUUAUGUGUAUGUUUUGUGGGCAGAAAGUUUAUAACAAACAUAUUAUGUUUGUUAUAAACUUUCCACUCACAAAACAUUUACAUGUAUUUAUAACAAAAUUAUUUAACAUGAAUUUUAUUGAUUGAAUUGUUAUUAGCUGAAGUAUCCCAGGAAAGUCAUGUUCACCACGUGUAAAGAGUCAUCACAUGUAAUGUGUACUAUAGUAAUUGUUUGUUUAAAGAGAGGAAUGAGAAAUUAAAGGAUUAGAUGUGUU